rnacentral:rRNA from 1 species
GUGCUAGGUGUUAGGCCCUUUCCGGGGCUUAGUGCCGCAGCUAACGCAUUAAGCACUCCGCCUGGGGAGUACGACCGCAAGGUUGAAACUCAAAGGAAUUGACGGGGGCCCGCACAAGCGGUGGAGCAUGUGGUUUAAUUCGAAGCAACGCGAAGAACCUUACCAGGUCUUGACAUCCCAGUGACCGCUCUAGAGAUAGAGUUUUUCUUCGGAACACUGGUGACAGGUGGUGCAUGGUUGUCGUCAGCUCGUGUCGUGAGAUGUUGGGUUAAGUCCCGCAACGAGCGCAACCCUUAUUGUUAGUUGCCAUCAUUCAGUUGGGCACUCUAGCGAGACUGCCGGUAAUAAACCGGAGGAAGGUGGGGAUGACGUCAAAUCAUCAUGCCCCUUAUGACCUGGGCUACACACGUGCUACAAUGGUUGGUACAACGAGUCGCAAGUCGGUGACGGCAAGCAAAUCUCUUAAAGCCAAUCUCAGUUCGGAUUGUAG